rnacentral:ribozyme from 1 species
ACGCAGGAGCAACAAAAUGAAAAAAUACAAAAUGAAAAACAACCCUCAUAUAUGUUUGUCGAUU